rnacentral:rRNA from 1 species
GAUGAACGCUGGCGGCGUGCCUAAUACAUGCAAGUCGAGCGAACAGACGAGAAGCUUGCUCCUCUGCCGUUAGCGGCGGACGGGCGAGUAACACGUGGAUCACCUACCUAUAUUACUGGGAUAACUUCGGGAAACCGGAGCUAAUACCGCAUAAUACAUCGAACCGCAUGGUUCAAUAGUUCAUGACGGUUUUGCUGUCACUUAUAGACGGUUCCGCGCCGCAUUAGCUAGUUGGUAAGGUAACGGCUUACCAAGGCAACGAUGCGUAGCUGACCUGAGAGGGUGAUCAGCCACACUGGAACUGAGACACGGUCCAGACUCCUACGGGAGGCAGCAGUAGGGAAUCUUCCACAAUGGGCGAAAGCCUGACGGAGCAACGCCGCGUGAGUGAUGAAGGUCUUCGGAUCGUAAAGCUCUGUUAUUAGGGAAGAACAGAUGUGUAAGUAACUAUGCACGUCUUGACGGUACCUAAUCAGAAAGCCACGGCUAACUACGUG